rnacentral:rRNA from 1 species
UACAGAGGUCUCAAGCGUUGUUCGGAUUCAUUGGGCGUAAAGGGUGCGUAGGCGGCGCGGUAAGUCGGAUGUGAAAUCUCGGAGCUUAACUCCGAAACUGCAUUCGAUACUGCCGUGCUUGAGGACUGGAGAGGAGACUGGAAUUUACGGUGUAGCGGUGAAAUGCGUAGAUAUCGUAAGGAAGACCAGUGGGCAAGGCGGGUCCCUGGACAGUUCCUGACGCUGAGGCACCAAGGGCAGGGGAGCAAACGGG